rnacentral:rRNA from 1 species
GAUGAUCGCUAGCGGCAGGCUUAACACAUGCAAGUCGAGGGGUAUAGGUUUUCGGACCUAGAGACCGGCGCACGGGUGCGUAACGCGUAUGCAAUCUACCUUUCACAGAGGGAUAGCCCAGAGAAAUUUGGAUUAAUACCUCAUAGUAUAGCAGUUUCGCAUGAAACCACUAUUAAAGUAUCAACGGUGAAAGAUGAGCAUGCGUCCCAUUAGCUAGAUGGUAAGGUAACGGCUUACCAUGGCUACGAUGGGUAGGGGUCCUGAGAGGGAGAUCUCCCACACUGGUACUGAGACACGGACCAGACUCCUACGGGAGGCAGCAGUGAGGAAUAUUGGUCAAUGGACGCAAGUCUGAACCAGCCAUGCCGCGUGCAGGAUGACGGUCCUAUGGAUUGUAAACUGCUUUUGUACGAGAAGAAACAACAUUACGUGUAAUGUCUUGACGGUAUCGUAAGAAUAAGGAUCGGCUAACUCCGUGCCAGCAGCCGCGGUAACAC